GCCUACGGGGGGCAGCAGUGGGGAAUAUUGCACAAUGGGGGAAACCCUGAUGCAGCAACGCCGCGUGAAGGAAGACGGUUUUCGGAUUGUAAACUUCUGUUCUUAGUGAAGAAGAAUGACGGUAGCUAAGGAGCAAGCCACGGCUAACUACGUGCCAGCAGCCGCGGUAAUACGUAGGUGGCAAGCGUUGUCCGGAAUUACUGGGUGUAAAGGGAGCGCAGGCGGGAGGCCAAGUCAGCUGUGAAAACUACGGGCUUAACUUGUAGACUGCAGUUGAAACUGGUUUUCUUGAGUGAAGUAGAGGU
rnacentral:rRNA from 1 species